CACUCAUUAGACUUAGUAAAACUAAUGAACAUGUAUUCACAAUUUAAAGGUGUAUAUUUGACAAUUUAUAGAUGUCUUUAAUCCUGAAUUAUAAUCCUUUGUUGAUAAUGUGAUUAUUGUCACCAUUGAAUUGACAGGAAGACCAAUUAAGGUCUGUUUUUAUUUCAAGAUCAAUUGUGUGUAGCUGUCCCUCAGGGCAAUAUAACAAAAGGCAAA
rnacentral:lncRNA from 1 species